UACGGGGGGGGCAAGCGUUGUUCGGAAUUACUGGGCGUAAAGGGUUCGUAGGUGGCCAACUAAGUCGGACGUGAAAUCCCUCAGCUUAACUGGGGAACUGCGUCUGAUACUGGUUGGCUUGAGUGCAGGAGAGGAACGCGGAAUUCCAGGUGUAGCGGUGAAAUGCGUAGAUAUCUGGAGGAACACCAGUAGCGAAGGCGGCUCGCUGGGCCGUUCCUGACGCUGAGACGCGAAAGCUAGGGGAGCGAACAGG
rnacentral:rRNA from 1 species